rnacentral:rRNA from 1 species
CCUACGGGUGGCAGCAGUGGGGAAUAUUGCACAAUGGGGGAAACCCUGAUGCAGCGACGCCGCGUGAGUGAAGAAGUUUUUCGGUAUGUAAAGCUCUAUCAGCAGGGAAGAAAAUGAUGGUACUUGAUUAAGAAGCCCCGGCUAACUACGUCCCAGCAGCCGCGGUAAUCCGUCGGGGGCAAGCGGUCUCCGGAGGUACUGGGGGUAAAGGGAGCGUAGACGGCAGCACAAGUCUGGAGUGAAAUGCCGGGGCUUAACCCCGGAACUGCUUUGGAAACUGUGCAGCUAGAGUGCAGGAGAGGUAAGUGGAAUUCCUAGUGUAGCGGUGAAAUGCGUAGAUAUUAGGAGGAACACCAGUGGCGAAGGCGGCUUACUGGACUGUAACUGACGUUGAGGCUCGAAAGCGUGGGGAGCAAACAGGAUUAGAUACCCUGGUAGUC